rnacentral:rRNA from 1 species
UACGGGGGGGGCAAGCGUUGUUCGGAAUUACUGGGCGUAGAGGGCUCGUAGGUGGCCAACUAAGUCAGACGUGAAAUCCCUCGGCUUAACCGGGGAACUGCGUCUGAUACUGGAUGGCUUGAGUUUGGGAGAGGGAUGCGGAAUUCCAGGUGUAGCGGUGAAAUGCGUAGAUAUCUGGAGGAACACCGGUGGCGAAGGCGGCAUCCUGGACCAACACUGACACUGAGGAGCGAAAGCCAGGGGAGCAAACGGG